rnacentral:rRNA from 1 species
GACGAACGCUGGCGGCGUGCCUAAUACAUGCAAGUCGAACGCUUUUUCUUUCACCGGAGCUUGCUCCACCGAAAGAAAAAGAGUGGCGAACGGGUGAGUAACACGUGGGUAACCUGCCCAUCAGAAGGGGAUAACACUUGGAAACAGGUGCUAAUACCGUAUAACACUAUUUUCCGCAUGGAAGAAAGUUGAAAGGCGCUUUUGCGUCACUGAUGGAUGGACCCGCGGUGCAUUAGCUAGUUGGUGAGGUAACGGCUCACCAAGGCAACGAUGCAUAGCCGACCUGAGAGGGUGAUCGGCCACACGUGGGACU